CAACGCGACCCCAGGUCAGG
rnacentral:rRNA from 2 species